rnacentral:rRNA from 1 species
AUGGGGAGGCGGCCCCUCGCCAGCGCGGCCGCGUUCGUCGCGCUCGCCGUGCUCCUCCUCGUCGUCGUGGUCGCCGUCCACGGUGCCGGCGUGCCAUCGUCGUCCGUGAUGGCGUCGGUGGGCAACGGCCGCGGCCGUGCCGUCGUCGCAACGGCCAUCUUCGACGCCGCCCGGUGCAAGGAGCAGAGGAAGAAGAAAGCCGGUGGUGCAGCGGCGUGGGCACGCGACGGCGACGAGGACGACGACAAGCAUGUCGUGCCGACCGGCCCAAACCCGUUGCACAACAGAUGA